UACGUAGGGGGCAAGCGUUGUCCGGAUUUAUUGGGCGUAAAGAGCGUGUAGGCGGCCAGGUAGGUCCGCUGUGAAAACUCGAGGCUCAACCUCGAGAUGUCGGCGGAAACCAUCUGGCUAGAGUCCGGAAGAGGAAAGUGGAAUUCCCGGUAUAGCGGUGAAAUGCGCAGAUAUCGGGAAGAACACCCGUGGCGAAGGCGGCUUUCUGGGACGGUACUGACGCUGAGACGCGAAAGCGUGGGGAGCGAACAGG
rnacentral:rRNA from 1 species